CUUUCCUUGACGACGACUGGCGCACGGGUGAGUAACGCGUAUCCAACCUUCCCAUGACCACGGGAUAACCCGUUGAAAGACGGCCUAAUACCGUAUGACGUCGUUUGCCGACAUCGAAAGACGACCAAAGGUUUGGCGGUGAUGGAUGGGGAUGCGUCUGAUUAGCUUGUUGGCGGGGUAACGGCCCACCAAGGCGACGAUCAGUAGGGGUUCUGAGAGGAAGGUCCCCCACAUUGGAACUGAGACACGGUCCAAACUCCUACGGGAGGCAGCAGGA
rnacentral:rRNA from 1 species